rnacentral:lncRNA from 10 species
GGUGCAGUGGCUCAUGCCUGUAAUCCCAGCACGUUGGGAGGCUAAAGCACAUGGAUCACUUGUGCUCAGAAGUUCGAGACCAGCCUGGGCAACAUGGCGAAACCUGUCUCUACUAAAAAUACAAAAAUUAGCCAAUCGUGGUGGUGCACGCCUGUAAUCCCAGUUACUCGGGAUGCUGAGGCAUCAGAAUUGCUUGGACCCAGGAGGCAGAGGUUGCAGUGAGCCGAAAUGGUGCCACUGCACUCCUCCCUGGGCGACAGAGUGAGACAAUGUCUCAAACAAAACAAAAUAACCAAACAACACAAACAAGGGAGUGACAUUGGUGGCAGAGAUUAUGGGGUCAAAAUACUGCCUGCCCCAGCCUCUAACUGCUUGGGAUGAUUGGAAGGGUGAAAAUGCACCACCUCCAUCCCGUCCCCCAUCCUUGAGAAGUGCUGGUAUUAGACAUUUAAAUACAUGGUCCUUGCUCCUGCAUAAUGCACUGGGUGGUGGGACUGUUCCUCUCAGCAACUCUCUAAGGGAGCUAGCAUGGUCUCCAUCUUCCAGAUGUGCACACCAAGAUCCCAGCCAUCAAGGAACAUAGGUGGCAGAGCCAAUAUGUGAAACUGUCUCUGUCUCAGCUUCACAUAAAGGCUUGUCAUCUCACCAUGGGCCCAAGUCCAGGGCUCCUGAAUCCUUUGGAAAUUUAGUCCUUCUGGGAGGCAUCCACCAUGUACCAGCAAUGUACAUGUGAUGCAGCUUCUCUGGUUCAAUUCUGUCCUGGCACGUAGGUGUUAAUAGGAGUCCCCAGUGGAUGGCUUACAUGUGUGUGUUUUCUGGUUGUGCUGUUUUUUUCCUUUCUUACCUGGAGGUGGCCAGGGCUGCAUAUCACGGCCACUCUUGGGUAUCGUUGCUUCUGCCGGACACCUCAGCUGAUUCUCAGGCACCUUCCAGUGGUGGAGACUUCAUGGGGCUCUUUGAAAAUUAACAAAGAAAGUCUUACAGCUCUGUUUUUGUUUGUUUGUUUGUUUGUUUGUUUGUUUUUUUCCCAGAUGGAGUCUCCCUCUGUUGCCCAGGGUGGAGUGCAAAGGUACCAUCUCUGCUCACUGCAACCUCUGCCUUCUGGGUUCAGGCGAAUUCUCUUGCCUCAGCCUUCCGAGUAGCUGGGAUUACAGGUGCCUGCUACCACGCCCGGCUAAUUUUUGUAUUUUUAGUAGAGAUGGGGUUUCACCAUGUUGGCCAGGCUGGCCUUGAACUCCUGACCUCAAGUGAUCCUCCUGCCUUGACCUCCCAAAGUGCUGGAAUUACCGGCAUGAGCCACCAUGCUCGGCCCCCUUGCAGCACUUAUCUCUCCACAUUGAGACACGGGACUACAUUGUGAGUCCCUCCUUCCCCCAAAAGAAGAUAAACACACUUUGCAGACUCCCCUGCAGGCACAUGACCUAGCUUCCACCGAUCAGAUGCACAAGACUUGGAAGCAAGUAAACGUGGGCAAGGUGAGCUAGCUGGGCGUGGAGGAGAGUGAUCUCCCGGCAAGCAGGUAUGACGCGGUGCAGGUGCCUGUUUCCACUGGGGUGGCUGUGGUGGAGCCUCUACCAAGAGGCAGGCUGUGGCGGUAGCUGUGUUGUAGUUAGGACAGUCCUGUGGUGAGAUUGGGUGGGGCUCCCCGGCUGUAUUGUUCCUGGUAGUGGAUCAUCCAAGCCUGCUUCUCUGGUCUUCCCAGAGUCUGCUGUUUGUAACAAAGUGAACUUGCUGUUUGUAACAAAGUGAAUUCUGUUGUUUGCAACAAAGUAGAAUCUGUCCUUUACCACUGAGUGGCUUCUGUGGCUUAUAAUUAAAAGCCCUGCCCGGUCCACUCCCAUUGAUAGAACUCACUGGAGUCCUGGACCUCCAGCCCACACUGUUACUGUUCAGCUCGGAGCCAUUCCUCCUCCUGCCUUGCCAACAUGGGCCUGAUAUUGUUUAAGCAGCAACAUGUGCAACUCUGUGGGGGAACUAUGAUCAGUCUCAGGCUGCCAUAACCAUCCUAGUCCUUUUCCCAGGAUACUACUUUCUUACCCACAUAGUUGCUAGGGGUGACUGUGUGGUUCGUUCCUGGCCACAGAUAAAGGGGGGCUUCUCAGGACAUUUUUCUUUCUGAUAAUAAGAAAUCCUCUUUUCCUGCUUAGUCUCUUCUUACCUUGAAUGGAGUUGUAUAAAGAUGAAAUGCUUGCAGCCAUAGCAGCCAUUUUGUGGCCAUGAGGCAACAAAGUUAAGGAUUAACAACAAACAAACAAAAAACACCAGUGAGGAUGGCAAGAGGAAAUACGGUUUAUUGGUUCUCAAAGACAUUGUCAAGCCCUUGAACCAACAUCAGCAGCAUCUACCUCCACACUCUGUUCUAGGAGAAAAUGGAGCCCUUUGUGUUUAAGGAAUGAUUAACUGUAUACAUAUCCUUUUAGUUAAGGCUCAGAGCUGUCCUAACUUAUUCCAGUCCCCAGGCAGUGUGGCUCAUGCCCACAGGGAUGGUUUAGAGUUGGUGCUGGAUAACCCUGUUUGCUUUUUCUUCAGGCUAGAGUGGCAGAUUCCACAAUGAACUUUGGAAUCGUGCCCUGCAUGAGUGAGGCCUCCAUUUCCUCAGGAGUGAGUUUGCCCAGUCCCCUUGCAGACAGAUUUAUGGCAAGCCAGUCCCUCCCCUCCCUGAGAAACCCAAUUGCCAGCCCUGGGCAGCCCACCCUCACCCUAUGGCAGGCCCGUGGGGUCUCAUGGCCCCUCUGGAUCUCCCUGUGGGUGAGAUGAGAUCCCCACAUUCUGCAGGUGAGGCCCUGGCGGAGAAGUGACUUAUCCAAAGUCCCACGGGCAGGGUGUAGGGGCUGGCUCCAGUUUUGUAGGAUCCAAGCUUGGGGGUCCCACUCCAGUAGGAGUCUCUCUAUUUGCCCCAGGGCCAGGGUCACAGGGACUUCUGGGACAGUGGAUGACCAGGUGGAGUGGGCGCUUCCGGGCAGCAAGCUGAAGCGGGCUUGAGGAAGCCUGUGUUCUCCUGGGCCUGAGAAACAGGUUUCUGUUGCAACAGUGCUGUAACAGCCCUGGACCUCAGUGGCUUCCAAAAUAAUCAUUUACUUUCUCUCUCCUGGUUCAGGAGUCAGCUGGCAUGGUUUUGCUUCAAGUUGUGGGUCCAGAUCAUUUGGGAAGCAGCAGAGACCUGGGGAUGCUCUUGCCUGGUGGGCAGCACAAGCACGAGAGGUGCACCACACAGGUGCGUUGAAAGCCCCUGCCCGUGCCAAGUCUGCUGAAGUUCCAUUGGCCAAAGCCACUCACUUGGCCAAGCCUGUAGUAUCAGGGGGAGAAUGGAGAUGGAAACUUUAGCAUCAUUGCUGCAUUUCACGGAUGAAGAAACUAAGGCUCAGAGGGGUGCAUGACCUGCUGGAGGUCACGCAGCCAGGAAGAAGUGGAGCCUAGAUCUUCUGUCCCUGGGCUUUUAGGAGCCAGUGGGGCCCCAAAGGCACACCCUGCUGAUUUCCUGGGGGUGAGAAGGACUGGGCUUUGGUGCACAACCCCCUCCCCUGCCCCAGGAACACCUGGGGCCCAGGCCCUGCCAGCCAAAGCCUCCUGUGCCUUCCAGCCCUGGCAGCCUCUCUGGGCCCAGAUCCGUCACACUGGCACCCAUCCUGCCCCGGGCCUGGCCUGACUCCAUCCAGUCUGCUCACACCAGCAUUGACUGUGCUUGGGCAGGUUACUGAAGCAGCCUCAAGAGCACUGAAUAAUUCAGGCCCACGUAAUGGGAUAAUGAAUUUACCGACAGCCUGGUGUGGUCUCUGUACUUACAUUUUGAGAAAUACUGACUCCGUAGGCCCACUGGCAGGCAAGGGAGGUACACACCCCGAGAAACUGUUGCGUCUGCCUAUUCGUGGGGUUCAGGCCUGACAGAGUGGGGACCCAACUUCGGUCUCAGUGGUUCUUCCCCUGCUUGGGGAAGUGGGGAGUCUGGGGCAGGGGGAGGCCUGAGUGGAACUUUGGGGAGAGGUGGAAGCAGAAUCCCAGGAGUUCAGAAAGGCAGAGCUUGAAGGGAGCCUGGCUGCCCUUGGUCCUGCACGCCCAUUUCAUGAACAGGGAAACUGAGGUGGCAGGCGGGACUGCCUAUGCCCCUGGACACUGUUCUGUGCUGACAAUACCAGGGAUGACUCGUGGCUCUGGGGAAGAGACCUGUGUAUUUUCCUUCUAGUCUGCAGUUACCUGUCCCCCAGCUGCUGGGGGGAAGGGGGUGUCACUGCUAAUGCCCCACAGCUGCCCCUUCACUGGAGAUGUGUCCUUAGCCAAACGAGAGCCACCGCCACGUGGAAGGCCACGCUCUGCCUGCCAAAACCUGGGCACACUGUGGCUGACUUCCAUGGUGGUACAAGAGCGGGAGUAACUGUGUGACGCUCUCUAUGCUCCAGAAUCCCCGGGGAAUAAGGCUACUGUGGGACUCCAGCUGAGACCACAUUCCAGCUUCGCCUUCACCCCCUUCCCUACCCUACUUCUCUCACUCCCCUUCUCCUCCAAACCUCCACAGCAGAUCAUUUGAAUGGAGUUCGGUCUCAGAGUCUGCUUCUGGGAGUCCACCUAAGACCCCAUAUUUCCUGGCCCAAGCCUCCCUUCUGAGCACCGCCCCAGAGCACCAACAGGGCUCAGAGCCAGGACUCCUUGGCCCUGGCCCUGGCUCCACUACAUGACUGUGAGGAAAUCACUGGUCUGCCCUGGGCCUCAGUUUCCCCAUCUGUGUGAUUGGUUGGCAGGAGGAUCUUUCAGGGUCCCUUCCAGCUCUGAAGUUCUGUGACGUGACCUGAGGUGCCAGGAAGCCUUCUCCCUCCCCCGCCUAGCCCCACAGGCACAUGGAAUUCUGCCACUGGGGCAUCACUUUUUCCUCGAAGGAGUUUUCACAAUGCAAAAGCAUCUGAGAUGAGAAUGAGCAUCCAAUCAGGUGAUCACACCACAGGGCAGAAUUUCUCAGUGUGGGGUUCUUGGAUCACCUGCAAUGAGUUCUUCACCUGAAGGGGUGUUUAUUAUUAUUAUUAAUUUCCCUCUUCUGUCUCUCUUUUUCUUUUUGAGACACAGCUGUCUCCCAGGCUGGAGUGCAGUGAUGCAAUCUUGGCUCACUGCAACCUCCACCUCCCAGGUUCAAGCAAUCCUCCCACCUCAGCCUCCUGAGUAGCUGGAACUACAGGCCUGCAACACCAUGCCCAGCUGAUUUUUGUAUUUUUAGUAGAGACGGGGUUUCACCAUGUUGGCCAGGCUGGUCUCGAACUCCUGACCUCAAGCGAUCUGCCCACCUUGGCCUCCCAAAGUGCUAGGAUUACAGGCGUGACCCACUGCGCCCAGCCUUCCUCUCCUUUUCUUGGAUGUGAUACCUUGGGCUGGCUGCAGCAGCUAGCUUUCAACCAUGAGGAAAGAGCAUGGCAUGCAAACAACAAGCUAAGAAUAGUGAAGCAGAAACAUAAAAAGAAGCUGGGUUUUCGCUGGCAUUUCUGAAUCAUUGCACCAAGCUUGAAGACCCUUACUUCCUAUAUGAAAUAAUUAAAUAUCUAUAUUGCUCAA